CAUGUCUAAGUAUAAGCUUUUAUACGGUGAAACUGCGAACGGCUCAUUACCACUUUUAUCGUCUCCUUGACAGUCAUCCAGUUUUGGAUACCCAUGGUAAUUCUAGAGCUAAUACAUAUGUACAGACCCGACUUCGCGGAAGGGUUGUGCUUAUUAGAUACUGAACCAGCCCACUUCGGUGGUCUCGAGUUGACUCAUAGUAACCAGCGAAUCGCAUGCUUCGGCGGCGAUGUGUCAUCCGAGUUUCUGACCUAUCAGCUUCCGACGGUAGGGUAUUGGCCUACCGUUGCUUUGACGGGUAACGGAGAAUUAGGGUUCGAUUCCGGAGAGGGAGCCUGCGAAACGGCUACCACAUCUAAGGAAGGCAGCAGGCGCGCAAAUUACCCAAUCCUGACACAUUUUUUUAGUGACAAGAAAUACCAAUAUUAGGCAUCUACGUCUAGUAAUUGGAAUGAGUGAGAUUCACAACGCUUCACGAGUAUCAAUUGGAGGGCAAGUCUGGUGCCAGCAGCCGCGGUAAUUCCAGCUCCAAUAGCGUAUAUUAAAGUUGUUGCGGUUAAAAAGCUCGUAGUUGGAUUUCUGUCGGUGAGUUGCAGUCCGGCCUCUGUGUUAGGUACUUGUUACGCCACCGGCAUCUUCCUGGGGACUGUAUCUGCUCUUCACUGAGUGGUGCAUAAUUCCAGGACUUUUACUUUUGAGGA
rnacentral:rRNA from 1 species